GUUUUAAUAGUUUAAAAAAAACAUUGGUUUUGUAUACCAAAUAUAAGAUUUUUCUUUUAAAACU
rnacentral:tRNA from 1 species